GAGACAGGGAGAUUAGUUAGGAAGUUAGAACAUUAACACAAGCAAAAAAUGAUAGUGUUUGAUCUUGGGUUGCUGAGAAAUGUUCAGAUUCUGGAAAUAUUUUGAUGGUAAAGCCAAUGAGAUUGAACGUGGACCGUGAGAGCAAAAUCAAAUCAAGAAUGACUCAAGUUUUUUGGACUCUACGAUUGCAAUCAUAGCAUUUGCUAUUAACUGAGAUGGAGAAGAAUGGAAGGUAUUUACUGAGCCCCUUCUGAAUCUGGGUACUGUGGCUUAGAGGAAGAAAUAAACAUGGCAAUUGCUGUUUCUGCCUUCUUGACACUUAUCCAGGAGUUCAGAAAACAAAUAUGUAAUUGUAUGUCCAGUUCUAAGUGUCUGAUUUUGAUGCUAAUGACCUAUUGGGGAUGACAACACAUGAAUAAGAGCACAAAAGUCUUACAGAUUAUGAAAAUACGUAGAAAGUAGACUGUGGAUGAAGGUCUAGGUGUCGUCAAUUCUAUUUAGUUGCGGAAGGAUUAGGCAAGUCUCCAUAGAGGUAAAGCGAUGAGUCCUCAUAUUGUGUUUCCCUCCUGAGAAAUGAAAAUUCUCACGUUUCUGUGGCACCAAGAGGAACAAGAAUCUUGUAGUGUCCUCACCUCCCACUUCAAUACUUCUAUGACCUAUAAGUCACUGCAUAAACCUGGCUCUAUCCACUCUCCAACAUCAUGUCAAUACUUAUCCCAUCAUUCACUGUCCCCAGCAACUGACCUCUUCUCUGUUCCCUGAGGAAAUCAAGGCCCUUUUUGCCUCAGGACCUUACAUGUGUUCUUUCUUCUGACUGAAUACUUUCCCCACAUCUCUUCACACCGUCAUUGUUUGGUCUCAACGUCAAUGUCCUCCUCAGAGAGGACGCUGCUGAGAGAGGUCUCAAGGCUCUCACAAAGCUGUCUAGCACAUUACUCUCUCUUCCCUAAUUUCUUUACUUUCUCCCCUUUUUAGAAUCUAAGCUCCAUGAUUGCCAAACUCUUUUCUG